CACUGGCUGAAAUUACAUUAGAGAGGAAAGAGGAACUCAGUAUCUGUGAAUCUUUUGGUGUUUUUUUCCAUUUUACUUGAUGUGAAUUACUUUGGACAAGCUCCAGGGAAACUCUGCAUCUUUGGCCUUACCUGGUGUAUGCUACCAUGUUCAGCUUAUGAUGGCCUAUGGAUGGAACUCGGGGCUACCUGCAUGGAGGCCCCAGCUGCCUGCUUGUUCAUGCCUCAGGAGCAACAGUGCCUUUGUGCCAUUUGAAGUCUUUCAUUUUCCUUUUUGAAAAGAAAUGAAAUCUAAGCCAACAUCCUGUCUCCUGCUAUCAGCUUCCUACCGAAGUGCAACAGCAAGCGGCAGGAAGUCUAUGAAUCUGCAUCAUUUGAAAGACUCCAGGAGUUCCAGGAAUUUGUCUUGAGGCUAGCCAGAUGGCUCAGUGUGUAAAAGAGCUUGCCAUCAGACCUGAUGACCUCAGUUUGAUCCCCAACAUCUACAUGGUGGAAGGAGAGAUAUGACUCCGGCUAGCUGUCAUUUUACUUCCACACCCAUGCUUUCUUGUAUGUGCAAAUCUCUCACCCACAAAUAAAUGAUU